AUUGAACGCUGGCGGCAGGCCUAACACAUGCAAGUCGAACGAGUGGCGGACGGGUGAGUAAUGUAUGGGAAACUGCCUGAUGGAGGGGGAUAACUACUGGAAACGGUAGCUAAUACCGCAUACCAUCAGAUGUGCCCAGGUGGGAUUAGCUAGUGGGUGGGGUAACGGCGCACCAGGGCGACGAUCCCUAGCUGGUCUGAGAGGAUGACCAGCCACACUGGAACUGAGACACGGUCCAGACUCCUACGGUAGGCAGCAGUGGGGAAUAUUGCACAAUGGGCGCAAGCCUGAUGCAGCCAUGCCGCGUGUAUGAAGAAGGCCUUCGGGUUGUAAAGUACUUUCAGCGGGGAGGCGUUACCCGCAGAAGAAGCACCGGCUAACUCCGUGCCAGCAGCCGCGGUAAUAC
rnacentral:rRNA from 1 species